GAGUCCGAUUAGAGUCUCUGUUCCUGGUGAGUGUAUUACUCCGACGGAUCGUCUUUUCUUCUUUGUGGAUUCAUAUUCCCCACAGAGUUUUGUUUGUCUUUGCAUGCAUACAUCUGCAUCAUGAGGUCUCUUAGGGACCAAAAUUUGUCUCAUUACUGUUAUUUAAGCCCAUUCUACCGCGUCGAGAUGAAGAUUUCUAAACUUCACUCCUCCGGCUAGAAUGACCUUAAAUA
rnacentral:lncRNA from 1 species